UUCUGGCUCAGGAUGAACGCUGGCGGCGUGCCUAACACAUGCAAGUCGAGCGGAGAUAAGUUGAAGCCUAGCGAUUCUUAUCUUAGCGGCGGAUGGGUGAGUAACACGUGGGUAACCUGCCCUGUACUGGGGGAUAACAGCUGGAAACGGCUGUUAAUACCGCAUAUGCGCACGGAGCCGCAUGGCCCUGGGCGGAAAGAUUCAUCGGUACAGGAUGGGCCCGCGCCGGAUUAACUUGUUGGCGGGGUAACGGCCCACCAAGGUGAUGAUCCGUAGCCGACCUGAGAGGGUGACCGGCCACAUUGGGACUGAGACACGGCCCAAACUCCUACGGGAGGCAGCAGUGGGGGAUAUUGCACAAUGGGGGAAACCCUGAUGCCAGCGACGCCGCGUGAAGGAAGAAGUAUUUCGGUAUGUAAACUUCUAUCAGCGGGGAAGAAGAUGACGGUACCCGCACAAGAAGCCCCGGCUAACUACGUGCCAGCAGCUGC
rnacentral:rRNA from 1 species